GAUGAACGCUAGCGGCGUGCCUAAUGCAUGCAAGUCGAACGGGAAGCCUUGACUUCGGUUGAGGUGGAGAGUGGCAGACGGGUGAGUAACGCGUUGGUGACCUGCCCUUGAGAGGGGGACAACCAGUGGAAACGCUGGCUAAUACCCCAGAUGUAAACUUGGCUAGAAAAAGUUUACUAAAGCUCCGGCGCUCAAGGAGGGGCCAGCGUCCCAUCAGCUAGUUGGUAAGGUAAUGGCUUACCAAGGCAGAGACGGGUAGGGGGCGUGAGAGCGUGGCCCCCCACACUGGUACUGGGACACGGACCAGAUACCUACGGGUAGCAGCAGCAAGGAAUAUUGCGCAAUGGGGGAAACCCUGACGCAGCAACGCCGCGUGGAGGAAGAAGGCCUUCGGGUCGUAAACUCCUUUUCUGAGGGAUGAGGAAGGACAGUACCUCAGGAAUAAGGCCCGGCUAACUACG
rnacentral:rRNA from 1 species